rnacentral:rRNA from 1 species
CCAUCCCGAACACGGAAGUUAAGCCCUCCAGCGCCGAUGGUACUGCAUUGGCAACGAUGUGGGAGAGUAGGUCGUCGCCGGAU